AGGCAGACUUUGACCUCAGCCUGUUAAAAUCCAGAUGGAAAGCAGUUGAUCACUGGUCCAUCUACCAGAGCGACCCCAGGUCCUCAGAGCUAAAACAUGAGCACCUUUGUGACUCUCUCAACGGGGCAGAAGAUGCCCAUGGUCGGACUUGGCACAUGGAAGAGCGCUCCAGGACAGGUGAAGCAGGCAGUGCUGGCAGCUUUAGACUGUGGGUACAGACACAUCGACUGCGCGGCUGCUUACAACAAUGAACAGGAGGUCGGAGAGGCUCUGGCUCUGAGGGUCGGUCCUGGGAAGGCUCUGCGUCGCCAGGAGGUGUUCGUGACCUCCAAACUGUGGAACACCAAGCAUGACCCAGAGGAUGUUGAAGAAGCAUGCAGGACCAGUCUAGCCCACCUGGGUCUCUCCUACCUGGAUCUUUACCUCAUGCACUGGCCCAUGGCAUUUCAGCGGGGAGAGGAGCUGAUGCCUCGGCGGGAGGACGGAAGCGUCUAUUAUUCUGAAACACACUACAGGCACACGUGGACCGCCAUGGAGCGCCUGGUGGAUGACGGUCUGGUCAAGGCCAUAGGACUGUCCAACUUCAACGCCAGGCAGACGGACGACAUCAUCAGCACGGCCAGACACAAACCCGUGAUCAACCAGGUGGAAUGCCAUCCUUAUUUGUCCCAAGCAGAUCUCCUGUCUCACUGUCGGUCGGUGGCAGUGUGUGUGACAGCCUACAGCCCCCUGGGUAGCGGGGACAGACCCUGGGCCUCACCUGAUGAAGCGAGCCUGCUGGAGGAUCCUCGCCUGGGAGCCGUCGCCCAGAGAUACCAGAAAACACCCGCCCAGGUCAUACUCAGGUGGCACGUUCAGAGGGGUGUAGUGUGCAUCCCUAAAAGCGUGACGCCCUCCAGGAUCCAGCAGAACUCGCAGGUGUUUGACUUCUCCCUGUCAGAAGACGACAUGAAGCUGAUUGGGUCCUUCAACCGCAACAAGCGUUUCAUCGUCCCAUCGGUGGAGGUGAGCCGCUGCUUUUAAAGACACCUCGCAAGAUUUCACGACCACUUGCUUGUCUUCGUCUAUUAACAGCCAUCCAAGUACAAAAUGUUUACUGGCAGAGACUCACCGGUGGCCGUUUUAGGUCUCAGCGAAGGUGUACCGUGAGCGGGACGGUAAGAGAGUGUGGAGAGAUGCAGAACAUCCUCAUUUCCCCUUCCAUGAUCCGUACUGAGUCUACCCCCAACCCCAAAGGGUUUACACUUCGCUUUUAAUGAUUGUUAUCGUACACUGAAGAAAUCAAGUUUUUAAAAUUUUAUAUUUGAAUUUCAUUUGUUUGUUUCUCUUUGGGAUGAAUGAUAAUAUUUAAGUGAUUACAUUUUUCAAGAACAGUUCUUCUAGUUACUUCUCAACAGAUUGCAGGGAGGAAGAAAAGAAGGGAAAAAAAAAAUAAAUGCAAUACUGAAAUCAACAUGGGCUGUCCCCAUGGCCUAAUCAUACCAUAUAACCACAAUGUCCUGGUGACACCAGUGUGAUUCCAGCCAAAGAACUUUGUUACAUUCAUUUCUGUCCCUCUCCAUGUUUCCUGCUUGGCCCUACUGUGAUCAAAUAAAAAAGGCAAGAAAUGUACAUUAACUCUGUCAAUAAAUAAUU